GAUGAACGCUAGCUACAGGCUUAACACAUGCAAGUCGAGGGGAAACGACAUCGAAAGCUUGCUUUUGAUGGGCGUCGACCGGCGCACGGGUGAGUAACGCGUAUCCAACCUGCCCACCACUUGGGGAUAACCUUGCGAAAGUAAGACUAAUACCCAAUGACGUCUCUAGAAGACAUCUGAAAGAGAUUAAAGAUUUAUCGGUGAUGGAUGGGGAUGCGUCUGAUUAGCUUGUUGGCGGGGUAACGGCCCACCAAGGCGACGAUCAGUAGGGGUUCUGAGAGGAAGGUCCCCCACAUUGGAACUGAGACACGGUCCAAACUCCUACGGGAGGCAGCAGUGAGGAAUAUUGGUCAAUGGGCGAGAGCCUGAACCAGCAAGUAGCGUGCAGGAAGACGGCCCUAUGGGUUGUAAACUGCUUUAUAAGGGAAUAAAGUG
rnacentral:rRNA from 1 species